rnacentral:rRNA from 1 species
AUUGAACGCUGGCGGCAUGCCUUACACAUGCAAGUCGAACGGCAGCACGGGUGCUUGCACCUGGUGGCGAGUGGCGAACGGGUGAGUAAUGCAUCGGAACGUACCGUGUAAUGGGGGAUAACGUAGCGAAAGUUACGCUAAUACCGCAUACGACCUGAGGGUGAAAGCAGGGGAUCGCAAGACCUUGCGUUAUACGAGCGGCCGAUGUCAGAUUAGCUAGUUGGUGAGGUAAAGGCUCACCAAGGCGACGAUCUGUAGCGGGUCUGAGAGGAUGAUCCGCCACACUGGGACUGAGACACGGCCCAGACUCCUACGGGAGGCAGCAGUGGGGAAUUUUGGACAAUGGGGGCAACCCUGAUCCAGCCAUGCCGCGUGAGUGAAGAAGGCCUUCGGGUCGUAAAGCUCUUUCGGCCGGGAAGAAAUCGCACAGGCUAAUACUCUGUGUGGAUGACGGUACCGGCAUAAGAAGCACCGGCUAACUACGUGCCAGCCACCGCGGUAA